AAGGAAUUUAGCUCUUUAGAUAUUUGUCGAGCAGGUUUCUCAUAAUGAGAAGCCCAC
rnacentral:snRNA from 1 species